AUGACGUCUCUCGUGGCGGCGUUGCUGCUGCUGUCGGUGCGGGCAGCUGUGACGGAGCCGUCGACUCCCACCCCGGAACCUACCGUCUGUGACGACAAUUACUCGUGCCCAGAGGGGGGCACGACUUGCUGCUGCAUCUACCGGCAGGGAGUGCUUCACCUGGACCAGCUGCCCGCUCCAAGGCACCACCUGCUGCGACGACAACUACAGUUGCUGCCCCCAUGA
rnacentral:rRNA from 1 species